UCCACAGUAGAUCAGUUGGUAGAGCAAUCGGCUGUUAACCGAUCGGUCGCAGGUUCGAGUCCUGCCUGUGGAG
rnacentral:tRNA from 1 species